rnacentral:rRNA from 1 species
AGAGUUUGAUCCUGGCUCAGAACGAACGCUGGCGGCAGGCCUAACACAUGCAAGUCGAGCGCUACCUUCGGGUGGAGCGGCGGACGGGUUAGUAACGCGUGGGAACAUACCCCUUUCUAUGGAAUAGCCUCGGGAAACUGAGAGUAAUACCAUAUACGCCCUUCGGGGGAAAGAUUUAUCGGUGAGGGAUUGGCCCGCGUAAGAUUAGAUAGUUGGUGGGGUAAUGGCCUACCAAGUCUACGAUCUUUAGCUGGUUUUAGAGGAUGAUCAGCAACACUGGGACUGAGACACGGCCCAGACUCCUACGGGAGGCAGCAGUGGGGAAUCUUAGACAAUGGGCGAAAGCCUGAUCUAGCCAUGCCGCGUGAGUGAUGAAGGUCUUAGGAUCGUAAAGCUCUUUCGCUAGGGAUGAUAAUGACAGUACCUAGUAAAGAAGCCCCGGCUAACUCCGUGCCAGCAGCCGCGGUAAUACGGAGGGGGCUAGCGUUGUUCGGAAUUACUGGGCGUAAAGCGUACGUAGGCGGAUCAGAAAGUAUGGGGUGAAAUCCCAGGGCUUAACCCUGGAACUGCCUCAUAAACUCCUGGUCUUGAGUUCGAGAGAGGUAAGUGGAAUUCCAAGUGUAGAGGUGAAAUUCGUAGAUAUUUGGAGGAACACCAGUGGCGAAGGCGGCUUACUGGCUCGAUACUGACGCUGAGGUACGAAAGUGUGGGGAGCAAACAGGAUUAGAUACCCUGGUAGUC